UACGAAGGGGGCUAGCGUUGCUCGGAAUGACUGGGCGUAAAGGGCGCGUAGGUGGCCUGUUAAGUCGAACGUGAAAUCCCCGGGCUCAACCCGGGAACUGCGUCCGAUACUGGCAGGCUUGAAUUCGGGAGAGGGAUGCGGAAUUCCAGGUGUAGCGGUGAAAUGCGUAGAUAUCUGGAGGAACACCGGUGGCGAAGGCGGCAUCCUGGACCGAGAUUGACGCUGAUGCGCGAAAGCCAGGGGAGCAAACGGG
rnacentral:rRNA from 1 species